rnacentral:rRNA from 1 species
AUUGAACGCUGGCGGCAUGCUUUACACAUGCCAGUCGAACGGCAGCGCGGGCUUCGGCCUGGCGGCGAGUGGCGAACGGGUGAGUAAUGCAUCGGAACGUGCCCAGUAGUGGGGGAUAGCCCGGCGAAAGCCGGAUUAAUACCGCAUACGACCUGAGGGUGAAAGCGGGGGACCGAAAGGCCUCGCGCUAUUGGAGCGGCCGAUGUCGGAUUAGCUAGUUGGUGGGGUAAAGGCUUACCAAGGCGACGAUCCGCAGCUGGUCUGAGAGGACGACCAGCCACACUGGAACUGAGACACGGCCCAGACUCCUACGGGAGGCAGCAGUGGGGAAUUUUGGACAAUGGGGGCAACCCUGAUCCAGCCAUGCCGCGUGCGGGAAGAAGGCCUUCGGGUUGUAAACCGCUUUUGUUCGGGAAGAAAGCCGCUGGGCUAAUACCCCGGGGGGAUGACGGUACCGGAAGAAUAAGCACCGGCUAACUACGUG